AGAAGAGUCGCAUAAUGGUAUUGCAGUGUCUUGGAAAGGCACAGGCACCUAAGAAGGGCCUUGCGGGUUCGAGUCCCGCCUCUUCUG
rnacentral:tRNA from 1 species